rnacentral:rRNA from 1 species
UACAGAGGGUGCAAGCGUUAAUCGGAAUUACUGGGCGUAAAGCGUGCGUAGACGGUUACAUAAGUCGGGUGUGAAAGCCCCGGGCUCAACCUGGGAAUUGCAUUCGAGACUGCGUAGCUAGGGUGCGGAAGAGGGAAGCGGAAUUUCCGGUGUGAGCGGUGAAAUGCGUAGAUAUCGGAAGGAACACCAGUGGCGAAAGCGGCUCCUGGUCCAGCACCGACGUCAGGCACGAAAGCGUGGGGAGCAAACAGG